UAAAAAUGUGAUUUUCAUUUAUUUAUUUUCUUCAUAUUUUAUAAAUUAUAUUUUUUGCAAUUAGUUAUAAAUAUUAAUUUUGACUAAAAAUUAUAUUAAUUUUGACUAAAGUAGUACUUUCUGAUGCAUUUCAGUAGUAUUUCGAAUACAGCGGUGGAAAGUGGUUGUGUUCAUGUUAGUGAUCGAAAUUAUCAAUUAUUUUUCUUUUAUUUCCAAAUAAUUGUAUUUGUAUUUUCCAAAUUUAUUGAAAAGUCAUCUUUAAAAUAGAUUCUGCGCAUGCGUAAGUGAUUUAACCGCGGAAAGCACUGCUCAAAUAAGAAAAGUUAUAUAGUGGCGCCAAAAAAUAAUAACCUCAUUGCGGGAUUAUACAAGUUACAUUUUUGUGAUCAAGAAUUUUGUUAUUUAUGAGUUAGUGCAAAUAAUAUGUGAAAGAUGAUAUUCAAAAGUGCUAUGUAUACCUAGUAUUCGUAGAAGUGAAUUGGGUGAUAAAUCUUCGUGCUGAAUCAAAUAAAAGCAAAGGUGUUCUCAUGCAUAAAUUCCGCACGCGCGGCGUGAUGUACAUAUACCGAUGAGAUAGUGUAGAAUCAUAAAUAUUGUGCCUUUUUAGUCGGUGAUCAAGAUUUCAAAGUGCAAUACUUCGUUCUCAUGGUUAACCAGGCAUGUCAUUUUUUCACUUUAACCAGAGACAAGAACCUGGUUCUUCGACAUUUCUCUACUUCCUGGGUCUUAGAUAGAUAUCUUAUUGUAAUAUAAAAAAUGCGUAUUGAUAAAAAAAUAAAAAUAUGAAAAUUUGGAAAGACAGUAAAAAAAUCACAAGCGCAGAGUAUGGCGUCUAGCAGUGUACUGCUCAAACGAACGAAGGCUGAAAAAAAUAUGAAAAAAUCAAUCAUAUUAACGAUCGCUGGAUUAGUUGAAUUCUUUUUACCAGAGAUGACCUAAGAAGAAAGCAUAGAGAGAGGACGCCGCAAUCGAAAAGAAACCGUCUAUCUUCUUCGCUUGCAAAAACAAGAAUUUUGAAAGGAAGAAAGAAAAAAACAAAGUAUUUUCACUCUGUAGUCCGAAAUUUUUACAAUGCUAUCCCGUUACAACUCGUACUCCCGCGCAAUUUCUUCCACGGACACAAAGGACUCGUAUCACCGGUUAUACAUUGCGCACAGAAUAUAAUUUCACAGAGGAGUGAUGCUUUUCCAUCUCGUUUCGACUGCUACGCGUUAUUACAUAUUAAAAUCGAAUUCCUUCGUUUCGAUUCAUCCCCGACGAGACAAGAAGUCGCAGAUAAUAGAAAAUGUCCCAAUGACGAGCAUGAAAAAUCUAAACGACAAUAAUCGAAACUGGAAUGAUAAACGAGCGACGACCGAUCAAUUAUCGGGGUGAAAUUAUUUUGACGGAGGAAAGAGGGUGAAAAGAAUCGAUGCUCAUCGAAAUCUCCAAUUAAUAAUCCGUUCUCUCAACUGUCGCACGCACUUCAAUGUUUAUCCGUUAUUACUAAACGUGAAUUCUCGUCUCGAUUUCUCGUCGAAAUUUCAGCAUUAAAGUAUUUUUCUUUUUUCCUUUAUUAUUAUUAUUAUUAUUAUUAUUAUUACUUUUCGGUCGAAAUUUAUUUU
rnacentral:lncRNA from 11 species